rnacentral:rRNA from 1 species
CGAACGGGUGAGUAACGCGUAGGUAACCUGCCUGGUAGCGGGGGAUAACUAUUGGAAACGAUAGCUAAUACCGCAUAAGAGUGGAUGUUGCAUGACAUUUGCUUAAAAGGUGCACUUGCAUCACUACCAGAUGGACCUGCGUUGUAUUAGCUAGUUGGUGGGGUAACGGCUCACCAAGGCGACGAUACAUAGCCGACCUGAGAGGGUGAUCGGCCACACUGGGACUGAGACACGGCCCAGACUCCUACGGGAGGCAGCAGUAGGGAAUCUUCGGCAAUGGACGGAAGUCUGACCGAGCAACGCCGCGUGAGUGAAGAA